rnacentral:ribozyme from 1 species
UGCCCAACCACUCCUAUCCCUAUCACCGCGUGAUACCGGCUGGGCUGCGAGCAACCUGAGGGAAGAACUUUGGUCGUAGGUUGACAGAGAGG